AGAAACGAGCGAAAUCCGUGUCUCAAGCAAAAUCGACCGGACCGCUCUUACAGAGACACUCUCAGAAAUUGAAACAGUUAUGUCCUGCUGCUAAAAAGCCUCUCCUUUUACCUGAAGGUGCUGUCUUCAAAGCCAUGAUUGUUUUUCUGCUCGCGGCUCCAACGCACAGUAGGCCACAAGUCAAACGAGAUACCGCUGCCUAUGCGGAAACUGUCGCAUAGCACGACACUGAGGAAGAUGACAUCCCCAACACGUUCACAAAGCGAGAUGUAGAAGAUCACACUGAUUCUUUAGACCAAGACGACAGCCAAAUAAAUUGUCAAUUUCUAAGCAAUGUUAUUAAAAACGUUACCGCCAUUAGCGAAAGAGAAAAAAUUUGCAAACUGGGAAAUUGCAUCUGUGCUCCUCUUAGUGUCUGGAAGAGUAAGCCUGGCGCUUGUGAACAAUGUUUAGAAGAAAAAUUUCCCAGAGGAUGAGAAAUUUAA